GCCCAUCAUAUGUUAAUAUAUGCAACAUAAAUUUUGUGCGGAAAAAAUGACUGUAUUUUCCAAAACCCAAGAAAAUUUUCUGAGAAGAGCAUCAUAGUUUUACUUUUUUUUUUUUUUUUUUUUUUUUUUUGCAGAUCUAUUUGAUAUCUGGCCUAACAGGAGACAGGUGGAUUCUCAGGUCUGCUCUGCAUUUAAUCUGUUGUGGUGUGCUAUUGUGGUCGAAAUCGCUGGAAAAACGUGACUUUCAGCGGGAACAGAGAAGACCUCGCAGAUGCCCUGAGAGCUGCCGGCUUGAUGAUAAAUAUAAACUGGAAAAGUCAUCCAGGAGAUCAAAUAUCGAAGAGAAAUCUCAAAAAGCUGCCAGUAGAAGCAAAAAAAACCCAGAAACGUUGCAACAGAUCAUAAUAGGGGAGAAGAGUAAAGAAAACAAACAGAGGAGCCUCUACACUGAGCAGCUUAGUGUUACCCAGCUCUUAGAUACCACUUGGAUUGUUAGCAUAUAUGCAUAUGGUUCAGUGUCUUCCUGCCGGCACUUUGGACCUAGAAGAUGUGCACUUCCUAGUAAAUGCUCAACAAACACCCGAGGAACUGAAUGUACCGCUUUGGAGCUGUUUGUCCCCGAAGCCGGCAUCUCUCGUCCCCGAUGGUUGAGCUUCUCUUGAAAGCUUGCCAGGUCCUCGUGACUUUCCUUUGAGUCAUUUGCUCCUCUCCCCCACAUUUUCCAGGCUUAUUUUUUCCACUGACCUGAUGUUCUGAUGUGCCCCAUGCCUAUUCCUCAUUUGUCUUUACUUUCUGCUCUGUCACAAAAGCAAAAUGUGAAAUGAUCCAUGCUUUCAUUGGCACGGCUCGGUCUUGGGGUUUCGUUCCCCCCUCGCGAAACCAUUCAUGUGGAGGAAGCUUUUGAUCUAGGAUUCAGAAACUCAGUCACAUUUUACAUAACCAGAACCGUGCUAGGUGGUUAUGUAAACUCUGGUUUUGACUUGAAUAGCCAGAGAAGAGUCUUUACAAUUUAGGUUAAAGCAUGUUGUCAGCUUCCAUUCAUUGCUGAUGGUCUGAAUGUCAAAGUUAUCCCACAUGGUGCCAUCAAAGAGACGCAUGAGUGUGUCAGGGGAGAAUAUGGAAAGACAAAAAAAUGUUUGCUAGACCCUUUUUGUGUGUGUGUAAUGUGUUGUUAUUAUCGUAUAAGAUGACUUGAGAAGAGAUCGAGUUUGCUCAUCUAGUUUAGUGAACAACUGCUAGAAAAGAGAGAAAAUAAAUAAAGCAUCCCGUGACA
rnacentral:lncRNA from 1 species